rnacentral:rRNA from 1 species
GCCCCAUGAAAUCUAUGUGGGGUGCAACCUGCUCAAUGGCUGCUAAUAAUCUAAUAAAAACAGUUAAAUAGCCGCGGUAACUCUGACCGUGAUAAAGUAGCAUAAUCACUCGUCACUUAAUUAGUGACUGGAAUGAAUGGUUAAACGAAUCUCCAACUGUCUCUGAAGAAAUCUUGAUAAAUUUGAAUUGAUAGUGAAGAUGCUAUCUAAAGACUGUAAGACGAAAAGACCCUAUCGAGCUUUACUGACAGCUUAUAUUUAACACAACAAUAAGUUAAUUAUAGUACCUACCUUGUAAGCCUACCAGUUUGGUUGGGGCGACCACCUCUAAAAACGUAUCAGAGGAAUUCUUAAGGUUUAUAAAAAUGUAACAAGCCUUACUGGAAACUUACCAAUUAAUCAGUUACUAACAAGUAGGACAUAAUGACCCGUUUAUUAAAUUACUUCAAUAAACGACAAUGAAAAAAGUUACCGUAGGGAUAACAGGGUAAUAUUUUCAAAGAGUUCAUAUCGAUGAAAAUGUUUGCCACCUCGAUGUUGAAUUGUGGUAUCCUGGAGGUGCAGCAGCUUCCAAGGGUUG